UCCGGCGGCUCUGAGGGGAAGGCGAGCCUCGGAGCGAAGAGGAGCCUUUUGGACAGGAGUCCCCAUCCUUUAUACAUCAUUUAGGUCUGAACAGGAUUCCGUGUGAGGCACUAAAAAGAAUAACACAUCAAGUUGAAAAGAGCCCCUAUCAGAGCAACAUGAAUACUGCUAAAAUAGAAAUAAGAAGAAACAUCAAGUUUAUGGUGAAACUUGGAUGGAAGAAUAGUGAAAUCAUUGCUGCUUUACGAAAAGUUUAUGGGGACAAUGCCCCAAAGGAAUCAACGGUUUACAAAUGGGCAGCUCGUUUUAAAAAUGGACGAGACGAUGUUGAAGAUGAAGCCCGUAGUGGCAGGCCAUCCACAUCAAUUUGCAAGGAAAAAAUUAAUCUUGUGCCCUGAUUGAAGAGCAUGGAUGGUGAAAUGCAGAAACAAUAGCUAAUAACGUAGACAUCUCAAUUAAGUCAGCUUAUACACUUCUCACUGAAAAGUUGGGCAAACUUUCUAUUUAAUGGGUUCCAAAGCUAUUGCACUCAGAUCAGCUGCAGGCAAGAGUUUUCAGUGGACAGUUUAUGUACCAGUCGGUUAAAGAUCUGGUUGUAACAAGAUGAAAUGUGGCUUUACCAGUAUUUCCUGAAGACAAAGCACAUUCAAAGGAUAGUUUUCAAGAAGUAGAAGUGGCCCAUUUAAAGCCAAAGCAGACCAUCCAUUCAACAAAGAUCAUGGCCACAAUUUUUUUUGGAUGCUAAAGGCAUUUUGUUCGUAGACUUUUUUGAAGGGCCAAAGAAUAAUAAAAUCUGCUUAUUAUGUGAGUGUUCUAGAAAAGAUAGGCAAAGCUCCAGCACAAAAAUACCGAGAAAGCUUCGCCAGAGUCCUUCACACCAGUGUCUCUGCGUGUUCCUCUCAGCAAGCCAGGGCAAUUUUGUGAGUUUGGAUGAGAAAUGUUUCUUAAUCUUUUUAA